UAAAAGUUCGGGGGCGUUGCUGUGAGAUCCGUGUGCAGAAUUCAGUCUUGCUAUGGAGCGUUUUGAAGCUACACUAUGGAGAAACGUUUAGAGAAAUGAAACUUGAUGACCGAACAAGCAAAGGGAUCUGUGUUAUCGGCGUGACAGCGACAAGUCUGAUGAUGACGUAUCAGAGGAAGACAGCGACACGUCGUUUGACUACGAGGCAGACGCCAUGUUUCAGGAAGGACGAGACAUUACUCUUGACAAGUCCAUCGAGGUUCAUGGGUGCUGACAUCCUGAUAGGGCACUACAAAGUCCUCCACAAGCCUCCUCCUGCAGUCGUGACUGCUACAAUGGCUGGCAUGUAUCCAAAAAUUUGAAAGAUGUAUAUUUGAAUAAAUUUUUAACCAUA